UGGUUCAGUAGGGGACUACAUGGGGAACUGACCAACACAUACAUUUCUCCCAUCAUGCACUGCUGGACGAGAGGGAUACUCCCACUGGAAUAUACAGUUAAUGGGAUUAUCCCUCCGUGCAGCAGAACUUACAUUCUACAUUAAAAUACAUAAUUUUAAUAAUAUUCACUUGUUUUACACGAAUGGACGUUCGGUAGAUAGCUG